CAUGGAGUGUCGAUGUGUUUUCAGAAUUUUCUGGAUUCCUUUCCUUCUUUUCAACAUUGGAGUCUGUUUUCCUAUAAAAUACCGUUUUGGUUGGCCCAAUAUAGACUACAGAGUUGGUGUCGGUUCUGACCUCGCUGCAGGAGUUUCCUCUGAUCCUGGUUCUGGUUACACCAGCAGUGGGGUUGGAUCGGAUUUUGGCGAUGGAUCUAAUGCGCUACGUUCA